rnacentral:misc_RNA from 1 species
UGUUGAUCCGGGUGAAGGGAAGAUUGAUAACAUAAUCACACAGUCUGCUGUUAUUCACAUGCUAGCAGAAUGUGCUGGGCUUCAAUGGUUUGAAAGCUGGGGAACAAAGAAACUUUCAGAAAUUGGUCUUCCCUCCAUGUCUCUUAAUCAAAUUGUCAAGGUUUGUGGCCUUUAUCAGUUAAUGUGUUCCUCUUCUUUCUUCGAAUUUGAGGUGAUUUAUACACGUGGUUAUCUGUAAUGCUUUGAUCAAUUUGUUAAUUUUUCAACAAUACAUUUAAACUGAAUGCAUCAUUCUCUGUUCUGUAUCUGCAUGGUAAGGAUGAGAGAUUCAUGUUGGCUGCAGGGCCAACCAAAUCUUUUACCUGAACAUUUAAAUUAGCAGAACUUGCCACCAUGGUGUAUUCAAAAUCCUGGGUCAAGUUCUCUUGAUGUUGAUGGACACUUUGCAGCCUCAUAUUGUUUUUAUGCCUCUAUAUCUUUCCUUAGUGUGUCCUUCUAAUGAUUAAAAGGUUAAUGAAGUUAUUCAAAUUGUCAUUUUGUUUGUUUUAGGUGCAUGA